rnacentral:tRNA from 2 species
GCGUCCUUAGUUCAGUUGGUAGAACGUUGGUCUCCAAAACCAAAUGUCGUGGGUUCAAGUCCUACAGGACGUG